rnacentral:rRNA from 1 species
ACGAAGGUCCCGAGCGUUGUUCGGAAUCACUGGGCGUAAAGGGAGCGUAGGCGGCGUGGUAAGUCAGAUGUGAAAUCCCGGGGCUCAACCCCGGAACUGCAUCCGAUACUGCCGUGCUUAGAGGAUUGGAGAGGUAGCUGGAAUUCUUGGUGUAGCAGUGAAAUGCGUGGAUAUCAAGAGGAACACUCGUGGCGAAAGCGAGCUACUGGACAACUCCUGACGCUGAGGCUCGAAGGCCAGGGUAGCGAAAGGGAUUAGAUACCCCUGUAGUCCUGGCAGUAAACGGUGCACGCUUGGUGUGAGGGGAAUCGACCCCCCUUGUGCCGGAGCAAACGCGUUAAGCGUGCCGCCUGGGAAGUACGGUCGCAAGACUA